CGCCACCCCCAGCACCAGCGCCAUCUUACGGACCACCACCCCCACCACCCCCGCCACCCCCAGCACCAGCGCCAUCUUACGGACCACCACCCCCACCACCUCCGCCACCCCCAGCACCAGCGCCAUCUUACGGACCGCCGCCCCCAGCACCAGCGUACUCUCCUCCAUCAUCGAUUGUCGCUGCUCCACCCCCAUCGAUUUUCGGUUCGUCAUCUUCGGUAAUCUUUGCACCGCCGCCCCCACUUCCAUCCACCGCGACGCCAUUAGUGCCGCCUGUUUCAGCGCCACCACAGAUUCCAUCCACUGCGUAUGGAUUUAGUAAAUAAACGGGCACCCUUCCUCAGCAAAGAGACAGCAUCGUUCUGGAAAAAGAAGACGUAAUUUGAAGCAUCAAGCAAAUACUGAGAGCUGCAUUUAAUAAUACUGAUGUAACGAACUGUCUGUCUUUCUUCUGAUACUUAAUAAUUACCAUGUAUUAUUUUUUUACAUAUUAAGUUUACAAAAUUAUAAAUUCACACAAAAAUUA